ensembl:lncRNA
AAAGACCAAUACGGCUUCACAGUGGUCAAUGGAGUCCCAGAGGAAUUACUGGAAACCAAUAGCAACGCUCGCCUGGAUGUCCCGGGGCUGGUGCAGUGAGAUUUGCUGGCAAGCCAACCUUCAUCAAACGCUUGAGCUCGGACAGUCUAGAUGGAGGAAAACUCCGAAGGAUAAGGAGCUUACUGCGCAAGGAGAGCUCUACGUCCAGGUGAGGCUGGAGGCUCUGGCUUGGCAUGUGCAUGGGGGUGAUUGACUGAGCCAACGAGAGCCCAUUCCCUAGCCCCAAAGGGUCCCUGUUUCUGGCUGCCCAACAGUGCUG